UACGGAGGGUGCAAGCGUUGCUCGGAAUUAUUGGGCGUAAAGGGCAGGUAGGUGGUCUCACUUGUCUGGGGUGAAAUCCUUGAGCUUAACUCAAGAAGUGCCUCGGAAACGGUGGGACUAGAGUACUGGAGAGGGUCGUGGAAUUCCCGGUGUAGCGGUGAAAUGCGUAGAGAUCGGGAGGAACACCAGCGGCGAAGGCGGCGACCUGGACAGUAACUGACACUCAACUGCGAAAGCGUGGGGAGCAAACAGG
rnacentral:rRNA from 1 species